rnacentral:tRNA from 1 species
GCCGGGGUGGCGCAACGGCUGACGCGGAUGACUCAAAAUCAUCUGUCCUCACGGACAUGCGGGUUCGAAUCCCGUCCCCGGCACCA